UACGCCCAUACUACGGUAUACAAUCCGAUAAAGCGCUUACCACAUAUUUUGCUCCAUAAAUCAAUAACAACUUACUUACAUAAUUACAUAAUGCUUAUUCAUUUAACUUUUCUACUUUGGAAUUCUGCCAUCUGUUGAUGCCUUAUUGUUAUUGCUAUUGUUGAGCCACUUUUCCACUUUUAUUAAUUUUAAUUUUUUGCCUAUUUAUUUUUAUGGCAUAAUCUUUGAAAUUACAAUGCCUCAAUUUAUGUAAAUUGCCACACUGGCGCUUGUGUACGUAUGUAUGCAUGUGAAUAUGUCAGCCCGUGGCCAAAGUUCGUGGUAAAACUAUAAAAAGAGUGAUAAAAGCUCGCACCCAGUUUGGAUAAAUUUUCUUGUGAGUUCUAACAUCAAAAUGUCCACAGUAAAUCGUUAAGUGAAAGUGUGAAAAUGUUGAAUUGACAAUUAUCGAGACAAUAACUGUUAAUCACUGGCUAAAGAUCAGGCAACACGAAUAUUUGGUAAUAAGUGUCAAAUUAUUAUAAAAACAAAUUAAUAUUAGAAUGUAAACCUUAUUACAUUCCAUUGAUAUUUGGACUUAGCUUAAGAUGGGAUUCUAAAAAAUUAUAAAAAAGUUUCGUCCUUUCGUAACUACAAAUGAUAUAUGUACACAUAUAAAUAUACAUAUUCAUAUAUCGCCAACGACUUUGUUAUGUUGUUACAAGUGGCAGACUAAAUCGUAGUUUCUGGUUUUUACAUAAUCGCCAACUAGAUUAGAACGUCUUGUAACAAUAAGCGCUUCUAAGUAAAGCUUGAAAUCAGUCAUUAAUGCAGUUAUAACCAACUUAUUUCACAUUAAUUUAUUUAUGAACUAAGUCACUCUGGCUUAUUCCACAUCACAUACAUAUCAGUCGCUGGAUGGACCAGUGCAAUAAGGUGCUAAAAAACUGGCAACGAAUCGCCUCAGGAACCACAAGAAUACUUAAAUGUUAAUAAAUCAACGAGUGCAAUAGAACUGGUCGCUUACGUCAAAAAUGUUGGCUAUAAAUCUCUUAAUCGACGAUAAAAAGUUAAUGCAUAAUGAAAUAUAGGCGGAUAAAUAAAUAACUAAUGCAGUGAAAAUCCACAAAGUUGUUGGCGAAAUUCCCUGGAAGUGUCAUACAAUACUGGUAGAAAGGAACAACCAGAACCAGAAAUUUUUUAAUAUAUACUAAUAUAUAUCUAAAAUAUUGAAACAGUAGUUUUGACACAUAAAUGUUUCAGUCACUUUAUUGAAUAUUGCACAUGUACCACAUAUUUUAACAUUUAAAAGCUUUUUUGUAAUAAUUAAACUCACAUAUAGAAAUAUUUUUAAGUAAUAUUUAGUUUUUUACAACAAUGGUAGCACAACACUUGCCGGAAUAUUUUAUAAGUAUAUUUAAGUACAAGUUUAACCAUACAUACAUAUAUGAAUAUCUAUUUGCUCAUAUAUUUCGAUGAGUUGAAUACUUUUUUAUGAGUUAUUAUUCACGAACAUUGUCUAUAUGACUUGUGAUUGGUUAUAUUAUACUUCAAGACAAUUAUCUAUAUAUACCAUUUAUUUAAUAUUUUAUUAGUAUCUUUACUUAUAUUUAAUGUAUUUUACUAACGACAAAAUUGGGCUCUAUUUGCACUGCCAG